UCCCACAGGUUAAAUACGUAUUGCUCACUAAUACACACUGGUUUGAGACUGUGCUUCGCCUGUGCUCUGCCCAAAGCUAUCUGCCACCCAUGGCUUUGGCCGUUUUCUUCUGAUCUUGCAGUGAGAUUUGAAGCCUGUAAGGCAGGCGUGUGCUUCUGGAGGGGAAGAAAAGGUCUCUGAAGGUAGAAGAAAGAAAACAGCUCUUUAUAACUUUGUGGUUCAGGUUUGUUUCUUUCUUUUUUCAAAGUUUCUCCUGGAAAGGUGGUGAAAAGGUCACAGCAGAAUUACAGGAGAAACUUGUCCAGAGCUCACAGGCACAGGCUGUUUUCAGAGCAAUUUUUCUGUACAAAACGUAAUCAAAGACAACAACAACAACAUUUUGCCUUUUACAGGAAAGGCCAUGUAAGAUUUCAGUGCAUCGGCUCAGCCUGGAGGACAAGAGGACACAGACCUCAGAGCAAGGAGGGCCCUUACCCAUCAGUGACUGCUCCAUGGAUGGUGGCACGGAGCGCAGUGGAGACAACAUCUACAACUGGAAGAGCUCACAGCGCCACUGUGUUAAAGAACAAAGAGAGCCAUGAGUGUUCCCAGGCAGCAGCCGGAGCGCAGGCUGCUCAGGUAAUUCUCCCCCAGCUGCCUCUCAGCGCUGCUCCCUGAGAUCCUCAUUGGCAAGGAGAGCACAAGGCACCCAGACCUCGGAAAUGUUUCAAGGCUUCACACCGGUUUUACGCUAUCUUGCAGCGAAGCGGCAGAUGGGAUUCUGGACUGAUCAAUAUCCUAAGUAGAGCCAAGUGCCGGAUCACUGAUCUGAGCUGAAAGAAUAAAUGGUGAAUCAAAGGAAUACACAAGUACCAUCAGUUCUGGGAGGCAGUUCUCUCCCUGCACCAGCCCAGCUGCUGUGCCUAAGGAGCAACCCCCGUCCUGCUCACAGUUCGGGGAUUAUAAAAGCCAAACAAAGGACAUGCAACAAGUUAUAAAUUCAGAGGAGUUCUUCCUGAGUGCCCAACAGCAGCUGAACUGUAGUUACGGUUAUUAUGCAGAGACAGACAUAAAACUAUAAUGCGGAUCAGCAUGUUUUAUCGCAGUCAUUUGACAACAUGCCAAGUCCAUGCAGCUUAGCUGUUACCUUUCUACAGCUCGCAGGGAUUUACCAUAGUUUCAGCUUAAUCUGGGAUUUUAUUAUGUAGUUAUUUCAAUCUCACUUUGAUAAUGGCACUCCAAACGGUGAUAAAACAAAGGAAGAUCGUAUUUAGAUACAGCAGUGAUGAAUAAUGUUAGAAACACCUAAAGCAGAAACGGAAUGCAUCUAUCUGUUCUGUUUUGCUGUACUCAGUGGAAAACAUCGAGAGAGCCUUUAUGAAGCAUUCUAUGAGUGAUAAAGACAUAGCUCCUACUGGUGGCUGAGAUGAGUGCUUAAUUGGAUGUUCCCUGUCCUCAUUACUUAUCCAUGUGAGCAUUUCUCACCCAUCACUGGUCUGAAAGCCAGCAGAGGCCAUGAGACCACUUUUUCUGAGCCCAUGACUCAGACCAGGCACUAAUCUGGCUAUGCAAAGUCCUCCACACAUUUUGCCCAGGUACAGUGCUUGUUCCAGCAAGACAAACCUCCUGCAUCAGGAGCUCCUACUCCCUUAUUUUAUCCUGAACAGAAUCUGGGAUUCUUACCUGAGACCAAACCUCAGUGCUCCCUGCAUCACCGUGGUGGGACGUGAGGCUGAUGCUCGGAACACACCACUUUUCUCUCUGAUCCUGUCGUUUAGAUUCAAACAGGAGUUAUUUAAUCUGUUCUUCUCCAUGACCAUGCAAUGCUGCUGGUUCGAAAAGCAGAUUUUUCUACAGCCUUGUAACAAGGAGAUAAGAGACUGGCAGCGGAUAAAACUACUUAAUAGCAAUUGUCUGCUGCCACGACUGCACAGAGCACGAAGGGCAGCAGCUCCACUGAAACAAGAGAUGAGCACAGGGUGCAGGCAGGAGCCAGCCCUGCAGCUGCUCUCUGGGAUGGUGGUACUGCAGGGAGAGCCGUGCAGGAGGCUCCAAGCAGAGCAGCCACGCUGACUGCUGAGAAUCAGUUCAUCCUCUUCCCCAGCACGUCUUGCUCUCUGCAGGUUACACCAGUAACAGACUGCCAGGGCCACAGCCUCAGGCAUAAGUUACCAAUGACAGCAGCACCCCCAAGAAGGGGGACCUGGAGCUGCAGCCUCCCACUCUUUGGCACAGAAAUUGGAGAGGAUUUUUGCUGGGCAAACGAUCCCUGCUGUAUGAAAAUGCAACAUUUAUUUCAAAAGCAUGAAAUAAAGAGUUUUACUUAAAAUCAAGCCAUAAAUCUGUGGGCAUGCUGCAAGAGAAUGAAAGCUCUUAUCAAUAUUUAUACUUACCUCCUCAAAGAACACAGGAGCUCAUUUACUAAAUAUCUUUGAGAAAUCAAGCCUUCAGCCAGACACAGGCCAGAGGAGGCAUUUUUGCCAGGCAGGAUGCUUCAGGAAUCAUCUUAACAAGGAAAAGCUCCACAGGAGAGCACCGUUCUCAAAGCUGCCCACUACUGCUUCACACAUGAUGCACCAAGUGCAGGACACCAGGCCUGGGAGAGGAUGCACCAGCAGGGGAUCUGUCUGCAGAUCCACUCCAGCUCCUGUUGGCUUCAGUGAGGCUUGGAGCCACCCCAUGGAAAUGUCAGAUAUCAUUAAUACAUCAAACACAACAUCAAUAUACACUGGCCCUUGGAUACAGCCAAACACAGCUAAUGGAAGCCACUCCAUAAGGCUCUAUGGUGCAUAAUCAGCAGCCAUCCCCAUGGCCUGCCCACAACCCCACAGGGCUGGCAGUUGGGUCACGUACUGCAUCAACAGGUAGAGACCUGGCUCUCCAUCUCUUCUAGAUCAUGAGACCGAAGGCCUUCCAGGUGGGAGCUGCAGUUUUCAUCAUCAAGUCUGUUUCCAGCACAGCAGCACAUGGCAUCUCCUGUGUCCUGCUGCAAUAAUUGAAAGUUAAAUUGAAAAUAAUUGCAAACGUAAAUCCUCCCUCUCCCAAUCUGCAGGAAAUUGAUACAGGCGAAAGGCAGGUGAUGAUUCAUUCACUUGCUAUCUCAGAGCCCAACGCUCCUUCCCCCAGAGCAGCACAGAACACACUUUGCCACCCACCUGAACACUGAUAAAAGUUGAAUACAACUACCUGUGAUUGAUGCCUCUCCUCACAUGUACACUCCAACCACAACCUGGAUAAUGUGUAGCGUUAUUAAAGCAUCAAUUAUCUUCAGCACAAGUGGAGCUACAUUAGCAGGGCUGCAUUCUGUUCAUUUUGAUAAGGCUUUCUCUGUUCGUUUAUCAACAAAAUGGGGACACCAGCAGGGCAGGGAUCCUGCAGGGUUUAACUCUGCUAGGAUGGAGCUGACACUCACAUCCUCCGUAAGUGCACUGUCAACAACAGCACCCUGAUUGAGAGGGUUUAUUUCUCAGGAAUUUGGCACAGCAGCCUGUGGAGAGCCCGUGUUCAUCCCUGACAGAUGUUCCAGCUAUACGGAUGGGCUGAGUUCACUGGGUCGCAGUGUGAUGCCUGACCAAUAGCUCCAGAUCCCCAGGCAGAAGGGCCAGAGACACCAGGCUGAGCAGCUGGUGUUCCCACACAGCUCAGGUUCUGCUCCUCUCUUGUGCAUGCAGGACGGUGGCUUAGAAACCACAGGGAAGCAAGGCAGCUACCUCUGAAGCCGUGCACAAACCGCAUCACCGUUCACCAGCUCUGAAGAGAAGCUUCCCUCUGUUGUUUCUCCCUUCUGGCUCUAAGAGUUGUGGUUCUCUCCAAGCCCAGGGAUAAGGCUACAAAACUACAGAAAAGCAGUUCCUUUUAGUUACAGACCUAAAAGUUCCUUCAUAAACUACACCCAGAUAGACACGGCUUAUUAAUAGCAGUAAAUCCACAAGUCCAGUAGACUUCUGUUAAUGGUUAUUGAUUGUAGUAGUGCUGGAGAAGGCUGGUGUCAGUCAAACUGAUGUCCAGUAGUCCUCCUUUGUCUGAGCAGGGCUGUCAAUUACACAAGAGCUCAUCUGUUUUUCAAAACCAGGCAGCAGAAAGGUGGUCACAGCUGCACUGCAGGGCUAGGAGACCCCCUUAAUGCUGAUAGCAGCUGUCAUCAAGGCCAAGCACUCCUUACUGGUUGGCUUGACCUGUGGGUCCAGGCCUCUUGAAGCUAAACCAAGGCUUAUCACAGCUUACUGUCCAGUCACUGUACACUGAGAGGAGCAGCAGCCACUAACCCUCCAGCUCACCCAGAGAUCCACAGAGCAGAGGACUCCCAUUUGGCUAAGAAGACAGGCAGGGAUUCCUGUUGGACACUUCCAAAUACCAGAGAUGUCCAAAUGUGUGGUGUGAAAUGCUAUCUUACAGGCAGAUCUGAUUUCUUAGGAGGCCAUUGCCAGACUACAGCCGAGCCUUCUUAUGUCCCCAUGCUGGAAGAGGACAGCCAUGAGCACUGACUGCCCCGAGCAGACAGCCCUGCAUUCAGAGCAAGCCUGCACUCGAGCUGCAUUUGCACUUCUCCAUCUGUUUACAGUCACUUCCUUCUAUCCCCCAGUGAAUAUCUUAAAAAAUCUAAGCUGCUUAACGCAAACACCAUG
ensembl:lncRNA